CUAACCCUUAUAUCUCAUCCGUUCAAGUUUCACCCCACUGGGAAUCCAUUCCACACACUUCAGGCGUGAGCAUAACCCAGUGCCGCCCAGCGCGUCCCAAGGAGUGUCAUGCCCAGGUAUCAGACAGAAGCCCUGGACGGAGCCCAGACAAAGCCAACACAGGAGAGUCGGUGAAGCUGGGACCAGAACCACGUAGAUGAGGCUACGAGCAUCUGAAGAGAUCUUGAGAGAAUAUCCUGCCAAGAGAUGGGAAUGCAACAGGAGCAGCUGAAGAUACGAAAAUGACUAGCAACAAAACAGACAUCAGAUUCAGAAAAAUGCUGGAAAAGACAUUUCAGCAGAAGCAGUUCUCUUUUGACAUUGAAAAUUCUACAGGAUUCAGUGAUAGGUUGGCUUCCACAUGGCAAUGUUGAACAGGAAAAAAAGAGCUGUAUGUAUAUUGACGUGUGAUUUAAUAUUUUAAACAUAGAAGAUAGAACUCUGACUAUAAAUUUUACUCUUAGACCCAUGUGGAUGAUUAAUAUCACAUGCUGGAAUACAUGGAUAUAAUGGGAAGAGAACAGAGACUUCUAAUGUAGUUCCAUUUUUAACCAGACACAAAUAAAACUUCAGGACUUCACCAAAAAAAAAAAAAAGAAAAAAGAAUCUAGUGGGUGGGUGAUGUCAGCACCUAAAUUUCUGUUAAUACUUUCAAAGUGUGCUUUUUUAAUGUUAAAAAAAAAUGUUUCCCUGAUUAGAAAGUCAAAGCUCAUUGAGCUACACAACAUCUUUGAGUGAGCAUUCCAAAAAAGUGAGUGUCUCCUCUGGCAUGGAUUGUUCUUUCUUCAGCACGCCUAGCUGACACAGCCACAUUUCUGCAGUUAUAUGUUCUAUUACCUUGGGACUCCUGGGCAGUCCCACCCAAAAGCAUUGAUGUUGCCAUGUAUCACCAUGAAAGUCUGCCCCGUGAGCGCUAUUAGAAACAAAACAAAUGGGCUGCAUUAGGACAAACAGCAGCCUCUCUUCCUGGAUUGAAGAAAACAGGCACUUACCCCUCUGGUUGCUGGAAUUUGGGUCUUCCCGAGAGGAUGGUGACUUCCACAGUGUGGAAAGCUUCACCCCGGCGCACAGAGACUUCCUGAAUCUUCGUUUUAGCUUUUCCUUGAGGUGUGAAAGCUGGACAGUGAAGAAGGCUGGCAGGAAAAAAAAUGGACUCAUUUGAAAAAUGGUAUUGGAGGAGAGCUCUAUGGAUACCCUAGACUGCCAGAAAGAGGAACAAGUGGGUCCUAGAGCAAAUUAAGCCUGAACAAUUGGAGGAAGCAAAAAUGAUAAAACUGAGGCUGUCCUACUUUGGGCACAUCAUGAGAAGGUAGGAGUCUUUGGAAAUGACAGUGAUGCUGGGAAAAGCAGAUGCAGCAGGAAAAGAGGAAGAGCAAAUAUGAGAUGGAUGAGCCCAUAAAGGAAGCCAUAGGCUUGAGUCUACAGAAGCUGAGCAGGGCUGCUGAGGAAAGGACAUUGUGGACUUCCCUCAUUCACAGGGUGGCCAGGAGUUGGAGCCAACUUGACAGCAUGUAACAACAACUGGCUCCUUGAUGGUUUUACCUUGCUAAAGCCUUUACCUGCCUUUGAUGUAACCUGCUUAACACAACUCAGCUGUGAUACCAUGGCCUCCCAGUCUCCCCUAAGGCUCCCUUGAUUCUGAGCUUAACACAUACCAUUCUUUGGUGGGUUGGAGACUUAACCAACUGUCUAACCAUGUCUCAGGCUGCCUAUGAUUAAACUACCUCCUCG
ensembl:lncRNA